UGUCAAAAGAAGUUGCCUUGGUCCUGAA
rnacentral:piRNA from 1 species